CUGGCUUUCCUUGUCUACCCCAUGAACAAACCAUCGGACAUCAUAUCUUCUGUUGUUUCCACAUUUAUAUCCAUUGCCGAAGAGGGGUACGUGAAUAGAGAUCCUGCCAAUCUGCAACUAUUCACUGCACUCUGGUAUUUUUUACUCUCCUGUAACUCUCUUCUGGUACGUGAAUAGAGACCCUGUCAAUCUGCAACUAUUCACUGUACUCUGGUGUUUUUUACUCUCCUGUAACUCUCUUCUGGUACGUGAAUAAAGACCCUGUCAAUCUGCAA